UGAGGAGAGAAGAAAAGGAACUAGCAAGGGGAGCUCUUGAUGGGUACCAAGGCAUAAAAAAAAAGGCUCUCAGCCAUCCUCAUACUGAAACCUAAACUCCUGGUACCUGGACCCACGUUGUCCUCAGUCUCUCCUUCCAGUUACCUGGCUCGGAUUCUGUUCAACAUGAGGGCUUGCUGUUUCCUGCAUGGCCUGGCCCGGCCCCAUGGUUUUGUGGAUCUGCUGCCUAAUUUGUGAAAGUUUACACAACCUUUCUACGUGAAGAAUAUUGCAACUUUAAAAACAGCAUGCAAAAUUUUGUUACAUUAGGAUGCAAAAAGGGCAUGGUGGCUUAUGCCUGUAAUCCCAGCAUUUUUGGAGGCUGAGGCAGGAGGAUCAUCUGAGGUCAGGAGUUUGAUACCACCGUGGCCAACAUGGUGAAUCCCUGUUUCUACUAAAAAUACAAAAAAUUAGCUGGGUGUGGUGGUGCAUGCCUGUAGUUGCCUGAUUGAGUAUCCCAACACCUAACACACACAUGUGCACGUGCACACACACACCCAUGGCAAGUGAGAGAGAGAGAACCAUUUAACAAUGACUGAAGAUUAAUUGGUCUCAGGAAUUUAAAAUAACUUCUGUACAGCCAUUAGCUGGCUACUGAAA
rnacentral:lncRNA from 1 species